rnacentral:rRNA from 1 species
GAUGAACGCUGGCGGCGUGCUUAACACAUGCAAGUCGAACGAUGAAGAAGAGAGACGCGAACUUCGGUUCAAAUUUCACUUCGGAUUAGUGGCAGACGGGUGAGUACCGCGUGAGCAACCUACCUCUUACAAAGGGAUAGCCUCGGGAAACCGUGAUUAAUACCAUAUGACACCUUCAUAAGGCAUCUUAAGAAUGUUAAAGCUACGGUGGUAAGAGAUGGGCUGGCAUCCCAUUAGCUAGUUGGUGAGGUAACGGCCCACGAAAGCGACGAUGGGUAACCUGCCUGAGAGGGUGAACGGUCACAUCGGAACUGAGACACGGUCGAAACUCCUACGGGAUGCAGCAGUGGGGAAUAGUGCAAAAUGGAGGGAACUCUGAUGGAGCGCCGACGCGUGAGCGAUGAAGGAAUUCGUUACGUAAAGCUCUGUUCUAUGGGAAGAAAAUGACUGUACCAUAGGAGAAAGCCCCGGCUAAAUACGUG